UCCCUGGUGGUCCAGUGGUUAAGACUUUACAUUUCUAAUGUAGGGGGCACGGGUUCGAUUCCUGGUCAGGGAA